rnacentral:rRNA from 1 species
UACGAGGGGGGCGAGCGUUGUUCGGAAUUAUUGGGCGUAAAGGGCGCGUAGGCGGUCGGAUAAGUCUUGUGUGAAAUCUUCGGGCUCAACUCGAAGUCUGCACAGGAAACUAUCUGGCUUGAGUGUGGGAGAGGUGAGUGGAAUUCCUGGUGUAGCGGUGAAAUGCGUAGAUAUCAGGAGGAACACCUGUGGCGAAAGCGGCUCACUGGACCACAACUGACGCUGAUGCACGAAAGCUAGGGGAGCAAACAGG